rnacentral:tRNA from 1 species
GCUGUGGCUCAGUGGAAGAGUGCUUGCCUGGGAUGCGUGAGGCACUGGGUUCAGUUCUCAGCACUGCA